GACGAACGCUGGCGGCGUGCUUAACACAUGCAAGUCGAACGGAAAGGCCCUGCUUUUGUGGGGUGCUCGAUUGGCGAACGGGUGAGUAACACGUGAGUAACCUGCCCUUGACUUUGGGAUAACUUCAGGAAACUGGGGCUAAUACCGGAUAGGAGCUCCUGCUGCAUGGUGGUGGUUGGAAAGUUUCGGCGGUUGGGGAUGGACUCGCGGCUUAUCAGCUUGUUGGUGGGGUAGUGGCUUACCAAGGCUUUGACGGGUAGCCUGCCUGAGAGGGUGACCGGCCACCUUGGGACUGAGAUACGGCCCAGACUCCUACGGGAGGCAGCAGUGGGGAAUAUUGCACAAUGGGCGGAAGCCUGAUGCAGCAACGCCGCGUGCGGGAUGACGGCCUUCGGGUUGUAAACCGCUUUCGACUGUGACGAAGCGUGAGUGACGGUAAUGGGUAAAGAAGCACCGGCUAACUACGUG
rnacentral:rRNA from 1 species